UAUAUAUGUGUGUGUGUGUGUGUUCUUACAUAGUUCAAAAUGCAGGAUGAGCAUUGUAGGAUUCUUUUGAAUUAUGGGCAAUUAGAUCUUUGAUGGUUCCAUUGCACAGUCUGCGUUAUUAAUGUACUGCUGCUGUUUUUCACUGGUUUUUUAAGGUUUUAAAUCAUAGAUUUAUGUUUGGGAGAAUCUGUGUUUUAUAAGGUAUGGUUUUCUGAGAUUUUUGGAAACCUCCAAAACAUCUGCAUUUUUCAACCCUCCAAAGUGGUGUCUUGAUGAGGUUUUCUUUUAAAUCCUUAAAAAAUUUUCAAAACCUUUCCAUUCCUUCCAAACAAGAAAAAGUUACAGUGUUUUAAAAGCAUGGAAAACCUUAUUUUAAUGAACUCUACUUUAAAAAAAACCUUACUUUUUCAUUCUCCCAAAUAGUGUUAAUCUGAUGUGAUUGCAUACUUCAAAUUUUGUAGGUCAAGAUGGUGACAAGUUGAG
rnacentral:misc_RNA from 1 species